GGCGAACGCUGGCGGCGUGCUUAACACAUGCAAGUCGAACGGAAAGGCCCUGCUUUUGUGGGGUGCUCGAGUGGCGAACGGGUGAGUAACACGUGAGUAACCUGCCCUUGACUUUGGGAUAACUUCAGGAAACUGGGGCCAAUACCGGAUAGGAGCUCCUGCUGCAUGGUGGGGGUUGGAAAGUUUCGGCGGUUGGGGAUGGACUCGCGGCUUAUCAGCUUGUUGGUGGGGUAGUGGCUUACCAAGGCUUUGACGGGUAGCCGGCCUGAGAGGGUGACCGGCCACAUUGGGACUGAGAUACGGCCCAGACUCCUACGGGAGGCAGCAGUGGGGAAUAUUGCACAAUGGGCGGAAGCCUGAUGCAGCAACGCCGCGUGCGGGAUGACGGCCUUCGGGUUGUAAACCGCUUUCGCCUGUGACGAAGCGUGAGUGACGGUAAUGGGUAAAGAAGCACCGGCUAACUACGUG
rnacentral:rRNA from 1 species